ensembl:snRNA U6 U6 spliceosomal RNA
AUAUAACAAUUACUAUAUAUAUUCUAAAAUUGAACGAUACAGAGAAGAUUAGCAAGGCCCCUGUGCAAAUUCGUGAAACGUUCCAUAUUUCU